UACGUAGGGGGCAAGCGUUGUCCGGAAUUAUUGGGCGUAAAGCGCGCGCAGGCGGUUUUUUUAAGUCUAGUGUAUAAUCCACGGGCUCAACCCGUGUUCGCACUGGAAACUGGGAGACUGGAGUGUAGGAGAGGAAAGUGGAAUUCCACGUGUAGCGGUGAAAUGCGUAGAUAUCAGGAGGAACACCUGUGGCGAAAGCGGCGCACUGGACCACAACUGACGCUGAGGCGCGAAAGCUAGGGGAGCAAACAGG
rnacentral:rRNA from 1 species